UACGUAGGCAGCAAGCGUUGUUCGGAAUUACUGGGCGUAAAGCGUGCGUAGGCGGUGCCUCAAGUUUGGUGUGAAAUCUCCCGGCUCAGCCGGGAGGGUGCGCCGAAAACUGAGGUGCUCGAGUGUGGGAGAGGUAGGCGGAAUUCCUGGUGUAGCGGUGAAAUGCGUAGAUAUCAGGAGGAACACCGGCGGUGUAGACGGCUUACUGGACCAUAACUGACGCUGAGGCACGAAAGUGUGGGGAGCAAACAGG
rnacentral:rRNA from 1 species